GUCCGCUUCGGUAGACUGUUUGGCUCACAGUAAACCAGUAGAAAAGGUUUUUGUUUUUGUAGCUGUUUCGUGGUGAAAUUCCUUUAUGGGGGCCAAAUUUCCCCACAAGAAAUUGAGCGCAUGGUUGCUUUUGCAUUCCAAAAGAACGAAUAUUAGAAAACAUUGAAAAAAAGUCUGAGAUAAUACAAUUAUAUUCUACUAGAAAUAAACUCGAUAGUGUGCGCUAAUUAGAUAAUGUGAUAAUCAUGUUUAAAAACUCUUUACAAGUCUUAUUUUUCAGAAAUUAAUAUUGUGGAUCAGAUUGCUUUGAGCGCUUCUGUUGUUUACCAAGAAAAUGCACCCCUGUUGGUUAUUAUUUCUGUAUCGCAAAGCGGUGAGUUUCUAUUUCUUGGUAAUUCGGUUUGUGAAAUGACUAUUAAUUACAAGCACAGCAUCAUCAACGGUGAUUGCAAGAACUACUGCAAUCCCUGCGGUUUUUCCUCUUGGUAAAUGCGUUCUGGUCGUGACCAAGGGUGGUCUCCCAAUCGGCCGGGAAUAAGGCUAUUGUUGCAGAACAAAACGCCACAACCACCGCUGUUGUAAAUAUGUUCCAGCAGUACUGCCCACCGCCGUCGGAGUAAUGAUUUCGAUAGCUGAACAAACGCCAUCUCCUGGGCAUUCCCACAUACCGACAAUAGCUAUUAUAUCACGUGUGAAUGCAACUGCGGCUAAAUUUGGUUAUUAACAGUGCAAUAGUGCCAUGUCAUUGGCAAAAACACUAAGGGAUGCUGGCACAUAGAGGUUGUAAAGUUUUUGGAAUCGAUGAACUUACUCGAAGAAGACGAUGGUCGAAAACAUAUGAUGAAACAUCUUCUGGCGUGCCUUUGACAAUCGUUAAGGUAGACGGAGGCUUCACAUACGAUAUUUCACACAUGGCUGGAAUUCGUUAGCGGACAGAGCACACAUUUACAAAAUAUUUAUCGUUCUGCAGAACGUGCAUGCAUAUUCGAUUCCGAUUUUAUGGGUCGAUUACGGAGGACAACCGAACUUCAGUUGGUUG